rnacentral:rRNA from 1 species
GUAGGUGGCAAGCGUUGUCCGGAAUCAUUGGGCGUAAAGCGCGCGCAGGUGGUUCUUUAAGUCUGAUGUGAAAGCCCCCGGCUCAACCGGGGAGGGUCAUUGGAAACUGGGGAACUUGAGUGCAGGAGAGGAAAGUGGAAUUCCACGUGUAGCGGUGAAAUGCGUAGAUAUGUGGAGGAACACCAGUGGCGAAGGCGACUUUCUGGCCUGUAACUGACACUGAGGCGCGAAAGCGUGGGGAGCAAACAGGGAUUAGAUACCCUGGUAGUCCACGCCGUAAACGAUGAGUGCUAAGUGUUGGGGGGGUUUCCGCCCCCUCAGUGCUGCAGCUAACGCAUUAAGCACUCCGCCUGGGAGUACGGCCGCAAGACUG